rnacentral:rRNA from 1 species
UCCGUAGGUGAACCUGCGGAAGGAUCAUUAAAGAAUUUGACGGGGGGAGUCCCUUCUGCGGUUUAACCCGCGGGAGAAGGCCCUCUACCAAUUUACCUUUACACACUAUCGUGCACUUGUCCCUUUUUUUACCACACCCUUUAUGCAUUACCAACGGUUUUUGUAACAAGUGAUAAUUGAAAGUACAACUUUCAGCAAUGGAUCUCUUGGCUUCCGCAUCGAUGAAGAACGCAGCGAAUUGCGAAAUGUAAUGUGAAUUGCAGAAUUCCAGUGAAUCAUCGAGUCUUUGAACGCACCUUGCGCCUUGGGGUUUUCCUCAAGGCACGUUUGUUGGAGUGUCUCGUAACCUCUCAACCCCCGUUGCGCAAGCAGCGAGCUCGGGUUGGAUCAUGGGGGCUUGUGGCUUGCAAAGGCCACUCCUCUGAAUUUCAUAAAGCUGAAUCUACCAAGCGGCUUGACCUGUUGUCGUAAAUGAUAAACUCAACGGGGACGCUUGCGCGAGAACGAGCUUACCACAAAUUACACCCUUACUUUGACCUCCAAUCAAGCGGGACUACGCCCUGAACUUAAGCAUAUCAAUAAGGGCAGGA